rnacentral:rRNA from 1 species
UAGGGAAUCUUCCACAAUGGACGCAAGUCUGAUGGAGCAACGCCGCGUGAGUGAAGAAGAUCUUCGGAUCGUAAAACUCUGUUGUUAGAGAAGAACACGAGUGAGAGUAACUGUUCAUUCGAUGACGGUAUCUAACCAGCAAGUCACGGCUAACUACUUGCCA